rnacentral:ribozyme from 14 species
CUUGAGUCCCCUUCUUCUUCUUUUUCUUUUUCUUUUUCUUCUUUUCUUCUUCUUUUUUGC